UGCAGUUUUUCAAUAAUUGAGAAAACCGGGAAAAACCGCGAAAUUAAUACAUGAAUAUAUUUUCAAUAUAAAACACCGUCUAAUUGAAUAAAGAAUGUAGUUUUAGAAAUAAUUCAAAAUAUUCAUUGUCGAUAAUAUAAUAUGCUGUGAUAAAACCCAUCGCUCAAACAAAAAUGGCGGAUUUUAAAACUUCGACUAUUUAGUCGCGAUCC